AGCGAUGAUCGGUAACUGGUCUGAGAGGACGACCAGUCACACUGGGACUGAGACACGGCCCAGACUCCUACGGGAGGCAGCAGUGGGGAAUAUUGGACAAUGGGGGGAACCCUGAUCCAGCGAUGCCGCGUGAGUGAAGAAGGCCUUCGGGUCGUAAAGCUCUUUAGGCUGGGAAGAAGGUCAUUAACGGAUAAUGUUAGUGAUUUGACGGUACCAGCAGAAUAAGCACCGGCAAACUCUGUGCCAGCAGCCGCGGUAAUACAGAGGGUGCGAGCGUUAAUCGGAUUUACUGGGCGUAAAGGGUGCGUAGGCGGAUGAAUGAGUGUGAUGUGAAAGCCCCGGGCUUAACCUGGGAAGUGCAUCGCAAACGAUUGAUCUGGAGUAGAUGAGAGGGUGGCGGAAUUUCCGGUGUAGCGGUGAAAUGCGUAGAGAUCGGAAGGAACGUCGAUGGCGAAGGCAGCCACCUGGCAUCAUACUGACGCUGAGGCACGAAAGCGUGGGUAGCGAACAGGAUUAGAUACCCUGGUAGUCCACGCUGUAAACGAUGAGAACUAAAUGUUAGUAGGGGAACCUAUUAGUAUUGAAGCAAACGCGUAAAGUUGACAAAA
rnacentral:rRNA from 1 species